rnacentral:rRNA from 1 species
UGGGGAAUCUUGCACAAUGGGGGCAACCCUGAUGCAGCGACGCCGCGUGAGCGAUGAAGCCCUUCGGGGCGUAAAGCUCUUUCGACCGGAACGAUAAUGACGUACCGGGAGAAGAAGCUGCGGCUAACUACGUGCCAGCAGCCGCGGUAAUACGUAGGCAGCAAGCGUUGUUCGGAAUUACUGGGCGUAAAGAGUGUGUAGGCGGUUUUGCAAGUUUGGUGUGAAAUCUCCCGGCUUAACUGGGAGGGUGCGCCGAAAACUGCAAGGCUCGAGUACUGGAGAGGAUAGCGGAAUUCCUGGUGUAGCAGUGAAAUGCGUAGAUAUCAGGAGGAACACCGGUGGUGUAGACGGCUUUCUGGACAGUCACUGACGCUGAGACACGAAAGCGUGGGGAGCAAACA